UGACCCGUAGUGUAAUUGGCAACACGUCUGAUUUUGGUUCAGAAGACUUCUGGUUCGAGCCCAGACGGGUCAA
rnacentral:tRNA from 1 species